GGCCGGGGGCGGAUGGAGGCGGAGGCGGCUGCUGCUGUGGGAUGAGCCCGGUCCUGGGAGGCGGUAUAAAACGUCGCUCCUUUCCCUGCCGCGCCGCAACGUACUCGGAUCUUAGCAGCAGCCUUCUUCGCUGUCUCUCCUGCGCUCUCCGACGAGCUCUGUCCGGUUUAUGGUGCUGCCCGGAGCCCCCGGCAUCGUCAUGUCGCGCUCGGAGGAAGUGCACCGGAUCACCGAGAAUGUCUACAAGACUAUCAUGGAGCAGUUCAACCCCAGCCUCCGGAACUUCAUUUCCAUGGGGAAGAACUAUGAAAAAGCCUUGGCAGGUGUGACUUAUGCAGCAAAGGGAUACUUUGAUGCUCUGGUUAAAAUGGGGGAAUUGGCCAGUGAAAGCCAAGGAUCUAAGGAACUGGGGGAUGUUCUGUUCCAGAUGGCUGAAGUCCACAGACAGAUUCAGAAUCAGUUAGAAGAUAUGCUGAAGUCAUUCCAUAAUGAGCUACUAACACAACUGGAGCAGAAAGUGGAACUGGAUUCACGGUACCUGAGUGCUGCACUGAAGAAGUACCAGACUGAGCAAAGGAACAAGGGUGAUUCACUAGAGAAGUGCCAGGCUGAACUGAAGAAACUUCGGAAGAAGAGCCAAGGGAGCAAGAACCCUCAGAAGUAUUCUGACAAGGAACUGCAGUUCAUCGAAGCGAUCACCAACAAGCAAGGCGAGCUGGAGAACUACGUGUCUGAUGGCUACAAAACAGCACUCACUGAAGAGAGGCGGCGGUUCUGUUUCCUGGUGGAAAAGCAAUGUGCUGUGGCCAAAAAUGCCCUCACAUAUCAUUCAAAGGGGAAAGAUAUUUUGACACAGAAGCUCCCCGUAUGGCAGCAGUCUUGUGCUGAUCCCAACAAGAUUCCAGACCGUACUAUCCAGCUUAUGCAGCAGAUGGCCGUCAGCAGCAAUGGUACUAUCAUGCCUAGCCCUCUCUCGACAUCCAAGUCAAACCUCAUCAUCUCGGACCCUAUUCCUGGUGCCAAACCACUCCCAGUCCCACCAGAGCUGGCACCUUUUGUAGGCCGAAUGUCUGCACAAGAGACUAUUCCAGUGAUGAACGGUGUCUCGGGCUCAGAAAGUGAAGAUUACAACCACUGGGCGGACAGGAAGCCUGCUCAGCCCAAGUCUUUAUCCCCACCCCAGCCUCAGAAGCAACUGAGUGACUCUUACUCCAACACUCUCCCUGUGCGCAAGAACAUGCCUAAAAACAGCUACGCAGCCACAGAAAACAAGACGCUGCCCCGUUCCAGCUCCAUGGCAGCGGGGCUGGAGAAGAAUGGUAGGACAAGGGUACGAGCCAUCUUCUCUCAUGCCGCUGGGGAUAACAGCACCCUUCUGAGCUUCAAGGAGGGAGACCUCAUCACAUUGCUAGUACCUGAGGCCAGAGAUGGGUGGCACUACGGAGAGAGUGAGAAGACAAAAUUGAGAGGCUGGUUUCCUUUCUCUUACACACGUGUGUUGGACAGCGAUGGAACUGACAGGUUACACAUGAGCCAAGGGAAAAGCAGCAGUACGGGGAACCUGCUGGACAAAGAUGACAUCCCUCCUCCAGAUUACAGCAUGUCCUCCCGGGCUUUCCAGGCACAGAACGUCAGCACUUUCAAACAGAGGCCAUACAGCGUGGCAGUGCCAGCUUUUGCCCAGGAGUACCUUAUGCCCUACGGCUGUGCACUUAAUGAAUAUCCCAGUGGCCUCUGCCAACUGCUACCUGCUUUCUACCAGCCUUAUCCUAGGUCAACAGCCGGCAUGGAUGACUAUGGGGCAAGACCCUCAAGCAGUGCUGAUGUUGAAGUGGCCAGGUUUUGAGAUGUGUCCCUGACUGUGUAUAGUUUGGGACUUUUAAUACCAGCCUGAAACUUGAAGGUACUCAAAGAAUCCGUUUGCCAACGUCCAGCUCAAGCCAACUGUGACCAAUGAUCGUUCAGCUCCUCUCAUCAGCUGAUCCUGGGGUUGUUGGGCAACAGCGAAUACCUCGCACUUUUUCUUCAGUUUUGCCUCUGUUCAGUGUUUCUAUGGUGUCCUUGUAAAAUCAAAAUGUCUGUCUUCCUACAGCUCUGGUUUUGUAGCUAGGUUACAUAUAAGCCUCUUGCUUGAAAAGCACAUGUUGGCACACUCGUUUUGUUUUUAAUUUUUUGCUCUUUAAAACAGAAGAGAUGCCUCGUCCUUGGAAGGAUGGGUAUCUUGAAGAUUGCAUAGCAUGUCUGUUCUGAACAGAGAAAUAGGUAGAACUAUGAACCAGACCUUGCAUUCUCUGCUUGUACUAUUUAUAGGCCAUGCUCAAUGUCUUCUAAUUAGUCAGAAAAGGCUAGUGUGAGCAGGAUGAAACUUGCUACUUUGCAAUGUCCUAUUUGCCACUUAGAAUUCCUCCCGGGAAGUUCUCUCUGUCAGCACCAUCAGAACAUAUGGAUAUGAAUAAACGGAACCUGUGGAUGUCAAGAAAGGCUUUGCUGCCGCCCAAGGGUUGCAAGACUGCGAAGUCUAACAGCUCCCAAUCCCUCAUGCAAUUCACACCGCCUCUACUGCACAGUUCUACUGCCAGAGGAACAACUGUAUGGACUGAAAUGGCUGAGGGCUUUGAGGGUAAUGCAUCACCUGCACAUCCUUCUCAUGCUGGGCUUUCACUAACCCCAAAGAAAUGAAGUAAAGGCAGUAAUCUGGCAAGGCAGUCAUCCUGUGGCUGAUGGCUGCUGUGCAAAGAGCAUAACCUGUGGUAUGUGUGAAGCAGGAAAAUAUCCUGUGCUGCUAUUGACUGAGCACCUGUCCCUUCUCACUCACACUUCUUGCUGAUUGACUAGCUAGGAGAGGAAUCCCAACAGUUAAAAAGCUAGCUUAAUCUCUCCCCAGAACUCCUCUUGCAGGCCAGUUCCUGCUUGAUGCAGUGUUUUUGGGUCCCAAGCUGUGGAACAAAGCUGACUCAGAUGUCCCAGAACCUAAUAUUACAGGUCAAUCCCAUUCUGAAAAGUCCUGGUUCUGUGACUGAAACAAGACUGUGUUCUUCCUUUCUUUACAAUCUUUUAGUCAGGUAGAUAUUAAUGCAUCCCAAAAGCAGUUUUAUGCACACUCAGGCCAGCUGAGGCUCAAAAUUUCCACAAGCAGAGCACACACACAGAGCUGUAGAGCUACUGCUCAUUUUGAAGUCAUUGCAUGAAAAUGAGAUUGCUUCUGUUGAAAGGCAACUUGGUCAUUUUAUUAGGUGAUCACUGUCUCAUCCUUAAAGUUAUCCAGCGAUAGGUCAACCACCAUGGCCUGUUCUAAUCUCAACCAAAAGAACUAGAGGGCCAAAUCUGGAAUACACACAUGGACCUCUGAUUGUAUUUCCUCAUGAUUAAAAAAUAAAAAAAUCCAAGAAGUCACAGGUAGCUUCAGGUUGAGGGGAGGACCAACUGGUGGGCUAGGAGGGGAGGUGGCUUACUCAUUUUGUUGAUAUUUAUUUGUUCAAAAAUCAGUUCCCAGUUGCUGUUCUCUAACAUAAUGAAAACGUAUGGAGUCCCACCAUGCCCCCAGGGAAGGAAAGCUGCAGCCCAACACCUGCUGAUCCUGCUCAAGCUGAAGCUCUCUCUGGCUGCUGCUUGAAAAACAAAUAAAUCCUAGAACCACCUGGAAUGUGUAGUCUGGCCAUCAAAUGCAACAGGUGCACAAAACUCCAGCAGACCUCAUGAUGGAAAAGUUCAGUGUCUUUCCUCUGUGAAAGGCUGCAAAAGGUUGAUGGUACCCUGUAGUAGCCUAGUUUGUAGGCAGAUGGGACCUCUCUGGUAUUCUACUGAUAAAACACAUUAGCUAGAUCACAGAUAAAUGUAUAAUUGCUUGAAUUUUUAUUUAAGCAUAGUUACCUACUAAUGUGCCUCCACAAAGUGGCAACGCAAGCCAGAUACAUAUGUCAAUGUCUAUAUUUUUAUAUAAAGGAAAUAUUUUAGCUACUAAUCCAUUAUUGAAAAGUGCCAGUGUAGAAUUUUCAGCAUGAAAGGGGUACAAUCCAGCAAGAGCUGCAAGCCUAGGCAUGGUUCUUGGAAGGUUAAAUCUCAUUGAACGCUAUGGACUUUACUUUUACAUAAAUAUGGAUGUGCUCAGGCUGCAGUUAUCUACUGUCUUGCUGGUUUGUGCCCUGCAUCUAUUUACUUUCUUUCCUCAUUUUUCUUCCUAUUGCUUGAUAAUAAUCUCAGGGGCUUUGUUCACAGGGGUGUUAGGUGAUCUCUCAAUGGGGUUUUAUAUAUUUGAAGAAACCAUUGACCUAAGGUUAAGCUCAUAUUCCCUGAAGAGUUUUUGCUAGACCUUUUAAAAACAAAAGGAUGUUUAGCUGGUUACUAUUUAGUAAUAUUCCACCACUGUGCAGUGUUUGAAAAGGGGCUUGCUGCAGGCUGGUACAAGCAUGGUCACCACUAUUUCAUGUCAACUAAUCUGUGGGAGAGGUGAACGCCAGUCUGGGGAUCACAAAAUGAAAGGAAGGGGAAAGUUGUGCCUGUGCCAGGAUUUCCUCCCCUUCCCUGAAGCACACACAGUACCAAUAGGGGCCCCUCUCUGCUUAUCAAGAUCAUCAUAUCAUGAAGAAGAAGAGAAACUCCACCCUUGGUUUAGAUGAGGUUAAGGUGCGGUAAUGGGUGCUGUAUAUGCUUUCAUGCCUCCCUCAGCACACACCCACAUCCACCCACCCUUUUACAAACCUGGAUCGUCCUCCCUUUUUCCUUUUCCUGUCAUAAUUUUGCUUAGAACUCAUAAGAGCCCCUGGUGGCGCAGUGGUAAAACUGCCGCCCUGUAACCAGAAGGUUACAAGUUCGAUCCUGACCAGGGGCUCAAGGUUGACUCAGCCUUCCAUCCUUCCGAGGUCAGUAAAAUGAGUACCCAGAAUGUUGGGGGGCAAUAUGCUAAAUCAUUGUAAACCGCUUAGAGAGCUUCCAGCUAUAGAGCGGUAUAUAAAUGUAAGUGCUAUUGCUAAGUGCUCUUUCCGUUUUCACUCAUAUGCUCUCAAAAGCAUGGAAGUUGCUUUAGGGAGUCCACCUUAAUUUCCGCCGUCAUUUAAGUUGUAAAGACUUUGACAGUCUCAUCUGUUAUGCUGGCUUUACUAACUCGAACAUGUACAAAUUAAGCUCCAUGCACCCUCACUUUGCCUUGAUCAUUUAGCUUAACAUUGGGCUGGCAAGGGCUGGGUCCAGGCAGACAUUCAAUAGGUGUAGUUUCCCCACCUUUGCUACAGUGUCCCUAAUUUCUGCAUUGGGAGAAAUAAAAUGGCUGUUAGCAGAGGUUGAGGACACGAGCACAGCCUUAAGCCCGACACCGGGAUAGUAUGAGUGCUUGGGCUGCUUACACCCCCAGUGCAUACAGAGAUGGGUGUAUAGCGUGCCCAUUUCACGGGAGUAUCCCCCAAUGCACUGGGCUCUUUGUGUGGUGCAUUGUGAAAUAUGUGGAAUGGGACGCAUCAUCCUGGCCUCUGGAGAUCCAUGCUGUGUGCAGCAGCACAGAUUGUGUGGGAAUGUGGUCUGCACUUCCUACCAACAUUGCAGAACCAUCUGGCAGUGGGGGAGGUAAAAUAGUAGAGUUCCAUUAUUGUGGAAUCAUCUUGGGGGAGAGGAGGUAAAAAUUGCAUUCUUUAGCAGGGUGUCAGUGCAGGAAAAGGGGGUUAACUAUGUAAGCAUUGUCCAUGUUUUAAGAGAUGCAUAGUUCUGCUUGAACACAGGGGCGUAACUAUAAUAGGGCAAGGGGAGACAGUUGUCCAGGGGCCCACUGCCUUAGGGAGCCCCCCAGAGGCAAGUCAUAUGACUGACUCUCCCAGUUGUGCACCCGCCAGGGCUUUCUCCAGUUGUAUUCAUCCUCCAAAAUUUAUGUGAGUGUUAAGACCUGGAGCUACCAGAACAGCAUGUCUUUCUCUAGUACCAUUAAAUGGCUUGCAUUGUCCACAAUUUACAAAACCUUUUAAAAAAUAAUUUAGGAUGAUGUUCUAUUGUGGCACAUACUAUUCAGCCUCAUUUAAGAUUUCUUUGCUUCAUGAGCUGAGCUUCAGUGAGGAGGGCUCCAUUUCAAAAUCUUGUCUCUGGGUCCACUCCAACCUUGCUACACCCCUGCUUGAACAAGUACAGUAGGUAAGUGCUAAGCUGCCCGCCCCUCAGCAACACCCCACCCCCCGAAAACAAACUACUUCAGCCAUGUUCAAAGUGGUGUUUGUCUUGUUAAACUGGGAAGAGACACACAACCACCUUCCAUGGCGUGUUCAUGGCCACACUGUACAUACUACCUGUGAGAAAAGAUGUCUAGAUUCCUAGUAACAAGUAUUUAUGUAUGGCAUCUGUGGUUUUGGUUACUAGAUUCCUAGUUUGGUUACUAGAUUCCUAGUAACAAGUAUUUAUGUAUGGCAUCUGUGGUUUGUGCCUCAUUACUUGGUCAGUAGCUUUCCAAAUUAACAAUAUUUCAAUGCCGUGUAGGCUUCAGCGCAGAGGCAUACCUUGUGAUUAAGGCUUAAGCACCGCCUGUGCCUCAGGCCCCCAUUUCUGGUGUUAAUGUGAUAGACAAAGGUAAAGUGUGCCAUCAAGUCGGUGUCGACUCCUGGCGCCCACAGAGCCCUGUGGUUGUCUUUGGUAGAAUACAGGAGGGGUUUACCAUUGCCAUCUCCCGCACAGUAUGAUAUGAUGCCUUUAGCAGACUGCAAAUCUUCCACUUGCCGUUUAAAACGAGUAAUUUGUUUAUGGGCUGGUAACAGCAAAUCUGUUCUUCAGAAUAAAAAGGAACUGCCAGUCAGCUAGUCUGGAGUUAAUUUCAUAACAAGUGAAACUGUCCUGGGACUUCUCGACAUUCACACUAAAAGACGAGACAGGAGGGUGACAUGUUAUCGAUCAGCAACCACCACUGCUCCCACCUCUUCACAGGUGGCUCUUAGUGAAGUAAAAUAGAACAAGCCACCGAGCAAUGCAAUGUUUGUUUUGAUUGUAUAUUAUCAUUGAAGAGGGAGAAACAAAAAGCACUUGCCUGGAAGACAGUGUAGAAGUAUUUUGUUAAUACUAGCUGCUCACAAGCCCUGUGGCCUCACCACUGUGCUGGCUCGAAGACUUGUCCAUGGAUGUCUUAAGGACUAAUGCUCCAGAUUUCUGCAUUUCAUCUUCAAAAGGUGCCCUCCGCACUUUCUGUCUUUUUGUUGCUACUGGCUAUCACACCUACAUUUUGUUAAUUCUGUAAUGCAUUUUGUAAAUUAAAAACUUAGCCUGAUUCCCGUUGCAUAAUACAGGUUUCCCCCCCUUUAUUUCUUAGACCAUGUCGGAAGAAGAAAAUUUUUUAAAGGGUAACUUGGAAAGGAUGGUUUCCGGUGUCAAAAGACCAGGAAUAGAAAUAUUUUGCUUUUGUGUUGUACCACAUCACUAAGGGAAGAGUGGUGUCUUAUGCCUGCUCCACGCUCAGAUUAACAAGAGGGCUGAGGUUUAGUUGCCCAGUCCAACUGGGGAAGAGGGUAAUAUUUUAUUCUCUUCUCUUUAGUGGUGGCUAAGAGGCCUCCAGUCAAGAAGGGCCCCUGUACUCGGCAACAAUCCCUAAUCCAGUUGAACCCUAUGCAACAAGUCCACCUUUUCAAGCCAUGGGGCUUACAGAAACAAAGUAUAUCUGAUGACUGUUAAGCAGCAAUACACAAGCCUAAUCAAUCUGCUCUAGGAACUUUGGGGGCGGGGGUUUCACUUCUUCCACCUCCCCAACAUACUAUUAAAUAGCAUUUAGGAAGAGUACUAGUGAGGAUGCAGAAAGGCUACAAAUCUUGAAAUUCUCACUCACUCACUCACUCAUACCCCUGUUAUAAUUCAGGACAGUAUGCACCAGCUGCAACUAGAACCCACUCCCUGUUUUAAUUCAGUCACUACCAUCCACAAAAGCGAGACUGAAUCUUAGAAUGCAACUAAAAGUGAUUCUUCGAAGUGACUAGAAAACCAUCUCAUUGGACUUGGCACCUCUUUCUGAACACAAAGUUCCUGUACCUUAAAGAUGACAGAAAACCCCAGCAGGUACAACUUUUUCUGCAUCUCCCAAUGUGUCCUGUGUCAUACAAGUCACAGAGGCACUUCUUUGUCAAAGAGCAAUUGACAACCCUACAUCCCAGUCACUAUCGCAAGGCAGGCACAUCCACCAACUAUCACGGCUCCUAGGUCAACCUACACAAUCCACUCUUUCGAUAUAUUGUGCUGGCUAGGAGGCAUAGAUGAGUAGGCAAAGAUUACAUUAUUUUAAAAACUUUUAUUAUUAUUUGUUAUAUUUGGACCAAUGGUAUUUGACACACAUGCUGGGAGCUGUAUGGAAAUCGGCACUGAUAAAAAAUACAGCAAUUAUGACCCGUAUCAAUAAAAUAUACACUGUAAAUAGCC